GCCUUCGUGGUGUAGUGGUCAGUACGCUCGACGCGUAUUCGAGAGGUCCAUGGUUCGAGUCCCGGCGAGGGCA
rnacentral:tRNA from 1 species